rnacentral:rRNA from 1 species
CACCGGCGGCCCGAGUGGUAACCGCUUUUAUUGGGUCUAAAGGGUCUGUAGCCGGCCAAGUAAGUCCUUUGGGAAAUCUGGUAGCUCAACUAUCAGGCUGCCAGGGGAUACUGCUUGGCUUGGGACCGGGAGAGGUGAGAGGUACCUCGGGGGUAGGGGUGAAAUCUUGUGAUCCUCGAGGGACCACCAGUGGCGAAGGCGUCUCACCAGAACGGGUCCGACGGUAAGGGACGAAAGCUAGGGGCACGAACCGGAUUAGAUACCCGGGUAUCCUAGCCGUAAACGAUGCUCGCUAGGUGUCAGUCACGGUGCGACCGUGAUUGGUGCCGUAGGGAAGCCGUGAAGCGAGCCACCUGGGAAGUAUGGCCGCAAGGCUGAAACUUAAGGAAUUGGCGGGGGAGCACUACAACGGGUGGAGCCUGCGGUUC